ensembl:lncRNA FAM25EP family with sequence similarity 25 member E, pseudogene
UCAUCCUGGACUCGGGGGCAGCGGGCCUGCUCUGAGCCCUCACCCUGGACUUGUCUCCUCUGUUCAGUUCAUGCCAUGGAGGAAGUGGUGAAGGAGGUGGUGGGACAUGCCAAGGAGACUGGAGAGAAAGCCAUUGCCGAAGCCAUAAAGAAAGCCCAAGAGUCAGGGGACAAAAAGAUGAAGGAAGUCACUGAGACAGUGACCAACACAGUCACAAAUGCCAUCACCCAUGCAGCAGAGAGUCUGGGCAAACUUGGACAGUGAAUGCACCUGCUACCAUGGCCCACCCUUCCCAAGUCUCAAUAAAAAGCCAUGAAAUAUG